rnacentral:rRNA from 1 species
CAGUCGCCGCGGUAAUACGAAGGGGGCUAGCGUUGCUCGGAAUGACUGGGCGUAAAGGGCGCGUAGGCGGUUUAGACAGUCGGGUGUGAAAUUCCUGGGCUUAACCUGGGGACUACAUUCGAGACGUUUAGGCUUGAGUGGGGAAGAGGGUUGUGGAAUUCCCAGUGUAGAGGUGAAAUUCGUAGAUAUUGGGAAGAACACCGGUGGCGAAGGCGACUCUCUGGUCCGUAACUGACGCUGAGGAGCGAAAGCGUGGGGAGCGAACAGGAUUAGAUACCCCAGUAGUCCCUGUCUCUUAUAC